AUACGGAGGUGGCUAGCGUUGUUCGGAAUUACUGGGCGUAAAGCGCGCGUAGGCGGAUUGAUCAGUCAGGGGUGAAAUCCCGAGGCUUAACCUCGGAACUGCCUUUGAUACUGUCAAUCUUGAGUUCGAGAGAGGUGAGUGGAAUUCCUAGUGUAGAGGUGAAAUUCGUAGAUAUUAGGAAGAACACCAGUGGCGAAGGCGGCUCACUGGCUCGAUACUGACGCUGAGGUGCGAAAGCGUGGGGAGCAAACAGGAUUAGAAACCCUAGUAGUCC
rnacentral:rRNA from 1 species